UGAUGACCCAGAACCUCCACAGCUUGACCCUUAACCUCCCGUUAUGACAAGCAGCAUUAUAAACACCUAGCACAGAGUUCUCAAAUGUUUUUCAUGUAGAGCUUGAGACUCCAAAAAAAUGAAGCCUUGAGUAAAGUCUCUAAGCAAGCUGAGAGAUGUCUCACCCUCUGCUUAUAUAACGGGUCUCCAAGGCCCCUAUCACACAGAGGCAGAACACAAGCAGAUCCUCUCCUCUAGCACCAGCUUAGCAGGUGGAAAAGAUAUAAAUGAACAUAAGUAAAGAGCAUAGUUGUCGCGUGUAUAAAAUUAUUUUAAUAGGAAAUACUGUUGGGGUGAGGCUCUGUGCGUACAGCAGGGGUAAAAAUACUGAAGGUCAAAGAAUAUAGAUGGUUUUGCCUAUGAAUAAAACUUUGUGCUUCAGUCCCUCCUCCUUGCUGGUGAUGAGUGGGGGAAUCCAGCCUAGAACAUUUCUGAGGGAGACAGAAGAUCAAGUUGAUGAAGACUGGACUGCGACCUGAGUUAAAACCUGAAUGUUGCUAAUUCUUCGGGAAGUCACUUUAAGGUUCAGACUGCCAUAGGGAGGAAUCAGAGGGCAUUUGAUCUUUCCCACCCAAUAUUAAAAUCAACAAUGUCCGUUCCUGCCAUCCUUUGAAAACUAGAUUCCAUAGAUGGGGCAAGCACUCCAGUGCUUUAAAGAGCAGUGUGGUGGAGCAAGUCUCAUUGCUAGCUCAGUUCCCAUGGAGACCUGGUCUAUAGCUGUCUUCACCACCAGGGCAGUUAUAUGUCAGGUGGAUUACAAACUCAUUCUACCAUAUAGCGUUAACAACUUCCCUGAGCUUCACAUUCAGAAUUAAAGCCAACUCAGACUUGGGGCUGGAAAAGCAAGUCUGGGGUCAGUGAGUAUUAUAGAAAAAUACCACCUUUUGAAGAAAACAAGCAUAAAAUAAUCAACAGAAUAACACCCAACACUGAAAUGACUUCAGCUUUCCUCAGGAGUCUCCAAAGAACUAGCAGAGUGGACCCUGAUUGUCUUCCUACGACCAAAGUUUGGAGAGAUGGUACAAAGUGGUCACUUUUACUGAUUCUCAGUGAAGACUGCUCCAAGAUGGCUGUCCCUAAAAGCCAGUUGUUCGGGUGGACCCUACACUGUGCCCUGCUUCCUGGUUCUGCCUCUUUCUCUUUUGUGUUCAGUUCUGGGGACCAAACCCAGACCUUCAUACCAGAUGGCAAGUGUCCUGCCACAGAGUUGCAUCCCUCUGCCUGUCAUUCAGUCCUGGAAAGAAUCACGCAUUUUUAUAAAUCUCCUGUCUGCUCAACAAUUAAAGUGGAAACAGAUAUUACCAAUUUAACACCCUCACAGCAGAAUCUGUUCAAUGAGAACUUGGACAAGCGCUAUCCCACUUAGCUUUGAAACUCAGAAGUUGGCGA
rnacentral:lncRNA from 1 species